rnacentral:lncRNA from 10 species
UAGUUGGUGGAGUUCUGCCCGGAUGGAAGCUCCGGCCGCGGAGUGAUGGUGGCCUCAGCGAAGAUGGGCCGGGCAGGGACCAUGGCGGUGGCAGCAGAGGUGGCAGGGGCGGGGCGGCUGGCGGUAGAGGAGGCUGUGGUCCUCAGGGGGCUGUAGGUGGAGGUAUGGCUCGGGCCAGCAGCGGGAACGGCAGCGAGGAGGCCUGGGGGGCACUUCGGGCGCCGCAACAGCAGAUGCAGCUGACUUUGCCUGUAGCCUCAUAGAACCCAUCCCAUGGCUGCAGUGGAAGCUUGCGGUGGCUCUCCAGUGACCAGAGGCAUAACUGAUUCUUGCUAUUCCAAAUCCUCUUCCACGUUGACAGCCCUUCAGAUAUUUCAACACUCCUCUCAGCAUCCUCCACUUCCCCCAUCUCUCCAAGCUGAACUUGGUUCACAGGGUGGGAUUGUCUUCGAGAGCUGUGCCCAGGAGUGAACAACCAGCCCUACCUCUGUGAGAGUGGUCACUGCUGCGGGGAGACUGGCUGCUGCACCUACUACUAUGAGCUCUGGUGGUUCUGGCUGCUCUGGACUGUCCUCAUCCUCU